CAGGAACACAUUGGACCCAUUGAAAGCAGCAAGAUGGUGACUCCAUCACAGCUUCUUGGCCUUCUGCUCCUCUGGGUUCCAGCCUCUCAUGGCAAGAUUGUGGUGACCCAGUCUCCUGCCAUCCUGUCCAUGGCUCCAAAAUAAGGAGUCACCAUCACCUGCGGGGCCAGUCAAAACAUUAACAAGUGGUUAGUCUGGUAUCAGCAGGAGCCAGGGAGAGCUCCUAAGCUCCUGAUCUAUGCAACAUCCAAGCUGGAAACUGGGGUCCUGUCGUGGAUUAGCGGCAGUGGGUCUGGGACAGACUUCACCCUAAGAAUCAGCAGCCUGGAGCCUGAAGAUGCUGGGACCUACUAUUGCCAACAGUCUAACAGCUACCCGCCCACAGUGUUACAGGUCAGAGCAUAAACCACCAGGGAAGCAGAUGUGAGGGGCUGGGCUGCCCCCGCUUCUCCUCUGAUGCCUGCAACUGCUCAGACAGUUUCUCAGAGGCAGCC